rnacentral:rRNA from 1 species
UAAGGAAUAUUGGUCAAUGGACGCAAGUCUGAACCAGCCAUGCCGCGUGAAGGAUGAAGGUCCUCUGGAUUGUAAACUUCUUUUAUCUGGGACGAAAACGGGAUUUUUAUCUCAAUUGACGGUACCAGAGGAAUAAGCACCGGCUAACUCCGUGCCAGCAGCCGCGGUAAUACGGAGGGUGCGAGCGUUAUCCGGAUUUACUGGGUUUAAAGGGUGCGUAGGUGGGCUUAUAAGUCAGUGGUGAAAUCUCCGAGCUUAACUUGGAAGCUGCCGUUGAUACUAUAGGUCUUGAAUUAUCUGGAGGGAAGCGGAAUAUGUCAUGUAGCGGUGAAAUGCUUAGAUAUGACAUAGAACACCAAUUGCGAAGGCAGCUUACUACAUAUAAAUUGACGCUGAGGCACGAAAGCGUGGGGAUCAAACA